rnacentral:rRNA from 1 species
UCAAGCUACAAAGAGCACAAGGGGAAUGCCUUGGCACCGAGAGCCGAAGAAGGACGUGACUAACUGCGAUAAGCUACGGGGAGCUGUAAGUGAGCGUUAUAUCCGUAGAUUUCCGAAUGGAGCAAUCCGAUUAGAGGAAAGUCUAAUCAUCAUAUACUGAAUACAUAGGUAUAUGAGGGGAACCGCCUGAACUGAAACAUCUAAGUAGGGCGAGGAAGAGAAAUCAACCGAGAUUCUGUGAGUAGUGGCGAGCGAAAGCGGAAGAGGCUAAACCAUAGGUAGCAAUACUUAUGGGGUUUCGGACAGCAUUUAGUAUUGAUAAUUUCUAGUUGAAACGUGUGGGAAAACGUACCGAGGAGUGUGAGAGUCACGUAAGCGAAAGAGAAAGUCAGCGAGCUGUAUCCAAAGUACCGCGGGACACGUGAAACCCCGUGGGAAGAUGGGGGGACCAUCCUCCAAGCCUAAAUACUACCUAAUGACCGAUAGCGAAUAGUACUGUGAAGGAACGGUGAAAAGAACCCCGGGAGGGGAGUGAAAAAGAACCUGAAACCCUAUGCUUACAAGCACCGAGAGCACGUCAAAGUGUGAUCGGGUACCUUUUGUAGAAUGGUCCGGCGAGUUAUUGUAUGCGGCAAGGUUAAGUGCUUAAGGCACGGAGCCGAAGCGAGAGCAAGUCUGAAUAGGGCGAAAGAGUCGUAUGCAAUAGACCCGAAACCGAGUGACCUAUCCAUGUCCAGGCUGAAGUGGAGGUAAAACUCCAUGGAGGGCCGAACACACGUCCGUUGAAAAGGCCGGUGAUGAGGUGUGGAUAGCGGAGAAAUUCCAAUCGAACUCGGAUAUAGCUGGUUCUCUCCGAAAUAGCUUUAGGGCUAGCCUCGUGAAAGAUUACUGGAGGUAAAGCACUGAAUGGGCUAGGGGUCGAAAGAUUACUGAACCCUAUCAAACUAAGAAUGCCAGAUAAUUGAUUCACGGGAGUCAGACAAUGUGAGAUAAGUCUCAUUGUCAAAAGGGAAACAGCCCAGACCCACAGCUAAGGUCCCUAAACAUUGUUAAGUGGAAAAGGAUGUGGGGUUGCAUAAACAACCAGGAUGUUGGCUUAGAAGCAGCCACUCAUUAAAAGAGUGCGUAAUAGCUCACUGGUCGAGUGAUUCUGCGCCGAAAAUUUAACGGGGCUAAAUUGUACACCGAAGCUUGGGAUACAUCUAAUGUAUGGUAGGAGAGCGUUGUAUACGGGGUGAAGUCAGAGCGGAAGCGCUGGUGGACUGUAUACAAGUGAGAAUGCCGGAAUGAGUAGCGAGAAUUAUGUGAGAAUCAUAAUGGCCGAAAAUCUAAGGUUUCCUGAGGAAGGUUCGUCCGCUCAGGGUAAGCCGGGGGCUAAGGCGAGGCGGAGACGCGUAGCCGAUGCACAUACGGUUGAAAUUCCGUAGCCACCGAAAGAUUUAAGUACAGGGACGCUUUAGAAGUGAUGUAGCCGGGCGAUGGUUGACCCGGUCGUAAGGGAUCGAAAAUGAGUAGAGAAGUCAUCAUGGAAAGAGACAAGAAAAGCUGUAUGAAUAUCUUAGGUGCCCGUACCGCAAACCGACACAGGUAGAUAGGAAGAAGAUUCUAAGGCCAACGGGAGAAGGGUUGUUAAGGAACUCGGCAAGUUGACCCCGUAACUUCGGAAUAAGGGGUGCUCAUGAAAGUGAGCCGCAGAGAAUAGGCCCAGGCAACUGUUUACCAAAAACACAGGUUUGUGCUAAAUCGAAAGAUGACGUAUACGAGCUGACGCCUGCCCGGUGCUGGAAGGUUAAGAGGAGAUGUGCAAGCAUUGAAUCGAAGCCCCAGUGAACGGCGGCCGUAACUAUAACGGUCCUAAGGUAGCGAAAUUCCUUGUCAGGUAAG